GAUGAACGCUGGCGGCGUGCUUAACACAUGCAAGUCGAACGGACAGGCAAUGCUUUUGUGGGGUGCACGUGUGGCGCACGGGUGUGUAACACGCGUGUAUCCCGCCCUUGUCUUUGGGAUAUCUUUAGGAAACUGGGGCUCAUAUAGGAUAGGAGCUCCUGAUGCAUGGUGGGGGUUGGAAAGUUUCGGCGGUUGGGGAUGGUCUCGCGGCUUAUCAGCUUGUUGGUCGGGUAGUUGCUUACGAAGGCUUUGACGGGUAGCCGGCCUUGGAGGGGGACCGGCCACAAGGGUACUGAGAGAGGGAGCAGACGCCUACGGGAGGCAGCAGGGGGGAACAUGACACAAUGAGCGGGAGCCAGAGGCAGCAACGCCGCGUGCGGGAUGAUGGCUUACGGGGGAUAAACAGCUGUCGCCUUAGACGAAGCGGGAUUGACGGUAAUGGAUAAAGAAGCACCGGCUAACUACGUG
rnacentral:rRNA from 1 species